GACGUGGGGGGCGAGUGUUCUUCGGAAUGACUGGGCGUAAAGCGCUCGUAGGCGGUUUUGUAAGUCAGUGGUGAAAUCCUGGAGCUUAACUCCAGAACUGCCUUUGAGACUGCAUCGCUUGAAUCGUGGAGAGGUAAGUGGAAUUCCGAGUGUAGAGGUGAAAUUCGUAGAUAUUCGGAAGAACACCAGUGGCGAAGGCGACUUACUGGACAGGUAUUGACGCUGAGGUGCGAAAGCGUGGGGAGCAAACAGG
rnacentral:rRNA from 1 species